rnacentral:rRNA from 1 species
UACGUAGGGUGCAAGCGUUGUCCGGAAUUAUUGGGCGUAAAGAGCUCGUAGGCGGUUUGUCGCGUCGGCUGUGAAAACCUGGGGCUCAACCCCGGGCCUGCAGCCGAUACGGGCAAACUAGAAUUCGGUAGGGGAGACUGGAAUUCCUGGUGUAGCGGUGAAAUGCGCAGAUAUCAGGAGGAACACCGGUGGCGAAGGCGGGUCUCUGGGCCGAUAUUGACGCUGAGGAGCGAAAGCGUGGGGAGCAAACGGG